CAGUGACUUUAUUGGUGUUGCUCUGGAUUGCCUUGGAAUGAGUGAUGUUAAAAUCAAACCCAUGGAUUUUUUGGUAUAGUGUUUGGGAGGACAGAGAAGGCCGGCCUGGUGGGUAUUUCUGGAGCUUGAUGUUUGCUCCAGAGCACUGGGCUCACAUGAGGGUCUAUGUGCCAUGCAGCCCCCAUAUAAACCGCUAAAGGCAAAAGAAGACUAUCCUGCCUGCAGUUAAUCCAAUUAUGUUUGGACCAUUUCAGUCUACUGUAGUUUACAAACGAUCAAAUAUCAGUACAGAGGUGAGUGGAAAUAUCUCUUCAGCUAUUUACAUCUAAGUCUGUGAAGCAAUUCAAGCCACACCCACAUACUUUUUUAACUUUAAAAAGCAACAACUACUUCCUCUCCCUCCUCCACCACCACCAAACCCAAUAUUUCUGGUUUGAUAGGUUAUCUGUUGCACAUACGGUCACAUCAGAGUUUGUGGUACUGGGGAGGUAACACAUUCACAGGAAGCAUACAUGCACAAAGCUGUGACAGUCAGAGCCAAAGGAGUAAUAGCUCUAGCAAGCAACUCAGCUAUUAAUAUUGUGGGGAAAGGUGAAACUUAAUAGAAACAGUUUAUUUUGGGGAAGAGGGGACUGAACAAGAUGAUUGUUUCUGAGCAACAAAUUCACAUGUUAUGGUCUUACAGAUUUCUAAUUUACUCUGCACAUGUGGGGUACCUAAAGAACAUGUAAACACCAGACAGAGUGUCCCAUUCCACACUAAACUUUUUGUAGGUUGGAAGACCUGUCUCAUGGGAUUAAACACAGAAGAGGACAAAGAUGCUAGCCCUACUGUAAAAAAGAGAGUAGGGUAUUGCCAUUCAGCUCUGACAUCUUAAAAGAUGCUUUUGAAAAUUCUAGUCACUGAGUCUCCUUUGGAGUCAUUUGUUACCUUCACUGUAAACAGAUUGUUUACUUGCGUAAAAUUUUCCCUAGCUGGUGGUUCUCUGGAAUCUCCUAUUCAGGGACCAGAUCCUGCUAGCCUAGCAGGCAUUGAGUAUUCAGGGGUGCUAUGAACAGGGCUAUUGACAGUCUUGGGAUUCCUUGUAGAGAAUGUUAGCGCUCAGAAGCUGCCCUUUUAUUCUCCCUUUUUUUAAAGGUCCCAAAACCCAGUAAACUUUCUUUCACUAUAUUCCACCUGUAAAGCAAUAGCUGAGAUGCUCCCAGAGUUUGGAUAUAGUCUGGGAUUUUUAAAAUAGCCUAAAACACUUAGGUACCUGAUUCCCAUAGAGAUCCCCAUUAAGAGUCUCCUAGGAACCCUAGAAAAUCCCACCAUAGUUGUCUCUCUUUGUUGAAAGGGUUUUUGAAGCUCCAUGUAUAGAACAGAUCCUACUCCUCCUAUGGUCUGCUUGGUAUCCCAGGAGAUGGAGAAAGAGCUACAUUUCAUUAGCCAAACAUGGGGAACGUAUAUAGAAGGAAAGGUGAGAAAACUAUGGGUAGAAUAAAUAUUGGGCCUAGUGGGAAGGAUAAAACCAAAGAGAAGAAAUCCUCCUCUUACCAUUCUUUUCUCCACUUGCUAUUCCUUCUGUCCCUUCAUCUUUGCUCUCUCAUUUCCUCCUAUCUUCUGCUCUACUCCACUGCCAUCUUUAUGAGUUAAACAUGCAGUUGUCACUCUUCCUUUCAGCCCACAAGUCAAACACCAGAACUGGUGCUUUCCACAUGUGGCUGGAGUUUAACAGCUAGUUAAUCCCUUAACAGCUAGGGAUUGUCUCUUUAAUAAUGCAGCCCUAGGCAUUUUGCCAGGAAGGUCAAAAACAUUUCUGGCACACACUCAAGCCAGUAUACAGGAGAGGUAUAUGCAAAGAGUGCAAAUGAGCUACCCAUAUCCCCCCGAGUAAGCGCGAGGGGGCUCCACAGCUCGAGCUCAACCCCUCUUCCUCCCGCAGCAGGAAACCGGCACUGGAGCUAAAGCUUCGCCCUCCCUUCACCCCCUGGAAGGUUGGAGGCCAGUGCCAGCUCCCAGCUAGGGGUGGGGAAGAGAGAAAGACCUGAGUCUCACUGCACAAUCUGGCUCAUGGGGAAGAAGCACUCCCCCUCCCAUGGCUGAGGGUACAGCACCACACAGAUAUGCUGCCUCAAGGUUUGCCCUGCUGCUCCCUUUGACCAGAAUCUGGCCAAUGGGAGCAGCAGGAGGCAGUGCCUGAGACCAGCGUGGGGCGCAAAGGCAAUUAAAUGGCCCCCACCCACUUGUACCCAGACACCAAUCCACCCUGUUCCUCCCCCUCCCCCAGUGGUGCUGGAGUGCCAGAGGAGUGAAGUGCAUCAAUUA